UGGGGAAUAUUGCACAAUGGGCGCAAGCCUGAUGCAGCCAUGCCGCGUGUAUGAAGAAGGCCUUCGGGUUGUAAAGUACUUUCAGCGGGGAGGAAGGUGUUGUGGUUAAUAACCUCAGCAAUUGACGUUACCCGCAGAAGAAGCACCGGCUAACUCCGUGCCAGCAGCCGCGGUAAUACGGAGGGUGCAAGCGUUAAUCGGAAUUACUGGGCGUAAAGCGCACGCAGGCUGUCAGUCAAGUCGGAUGUGAAAUCCCCGGGCUCAACCUGGGAACUGCAUCCGAAACUGGCAGGCUUGAGUCUUGUAGAGGGGGGUAGAAUUCCAGGUGUAGCGGUGAAAUGCGUAGAGAUCUGGAGGAAUACCGGUGGCGAAGGCGGCCCCCUGGACAAAGACUGACGCUCAGGUGCGAAAGCGUGGGGAGCAAACA
rnacentral:rRNA from 1 species